UGGGGGUGUUCAGAAUCAAAUUCUGAGAUGAUAGGAGAAUUUUUACCGUUUUAGGCGGUCAGAGGUGGCUCCGACAUGGCUGCAGGUGGCUGUCGGCUCCCUCCUCUGGCUAUUGGUUCUUCUUCUCUGGCGGCAAGCUCGUGGCUAGGGUUUGGGUUUGGUGUGAUUCGAGAUAUUUAUACCCAUCUCCCUUAAAUCUAGAUCGUUCAUCGCGUUUGAUCUCGACCGUUUGAUCACGUUUAAAGAGGAAAUAAAUCUAAAUCAUUCAUCA
rnacentral:lncRNA from 1 species